rnacentral:rRNA from 1 species
UAACCCCAACUCAAGUAUGACUACCCGCUG